rnacentral:lncRNA from 1 species
GUCGUGUAACUCAGAGUCGAGGAAAUGAUAAAUGGCAAAUGUUUGCAAUUUUCAAAAUAUAUAAAAGCUUUUGCCACAAAAUCAAAUGUACGGUCAACUAUCAAGGCACGCGCAAGAACCAAAACUUUCUGAUUUGAUUGGUUAAUGGUAUAUCGUGUUAAGUAUUUUGACCUUCAGUUGAACCAUUAUGCACAUGUUCUGUGUACAGGCAUGCAACAUCUGUUCUGAAUAUAUUUC